GUAGGUGGCAAGCGUUGUCCGGAAUUAUUGGGCGUAAAGCGCGCGCAGGCGGUCCUUUAAGUCUGAUGUGAAAGCCCACGGCUCAACCGUGGAGGGUCAUUGGAAACUGGGGGACUUGAGUACAGAAGAGGAAAGCGGAAUUUCAAGUGUAGCGGUGAAAUGCGUAGAGAUUUGGAGGAACACCAGUGGCGAAGGCGGCUUUCUGGUCUGUAACUGACGCUGAGGCGCGAAAGCGUGGGGAGCAAACAGGGAUUAGAUACCCUGGUAGUCCACGCCGUAAACGAUGAGUGCUAAGUGUUAGGGGGUUUCCCGCCCCUUAGUGCUGCAGCUAACGCAUUAAGCACUCCGCCUGGGGAGUACGGCCGCAAGGCUG
rnacentral:rRNA from 1 species